GCAACCAGGAUCUCUCCAAUUUUCUUAGAAAAGCAGUUAACUUGUUGCUUCCUCAAAGAUUUUAUUCAUCCUGAACCCCAAGAGGAAGGCCCUCUUCCAAGAAACGAGCGACUAUGUAUCUGAAAGCACGUCCAUGAGCAAGAACAGCCCUAGGCCUUUCG